rnacentral:rRNA from 1 species
AUGCCGUGUCAGAGUGACACGGGUGCUGCUCGCCACGCCGCUGAUGUUGGAAGUACGAGCUCUGGAGGAGCCAGCUCAUCGCCAGUACGUGCUGGCAGCGUGUCGCCCGACACGGACAGCGCACCGCCUGCCGACUCGCCUGCCGUCGAGGAGCCGGACACGGCUGUUUCAUCGCCAGAGAACGCCGCUGAAGCGGCGAAGCGAUGUGUCGCCGCCCCUGUCCAGCAGAUGCCACCGCUCCAUCAGAUGACGACACGCGCACGGGACGGCAUCGUUCAGCCGAACUCUCGCCUACAGGACUAUGUUCUGGCGAUGGAGUACGGCGAGCUGCAUCUCGGGGCGUGCGAGGAGCCUACCACGUUUACCGAAGCGGAGCCGCAUGAGAGGUGGAGGAUCACCAUGCUCGAUGAGAUGCGGGCGAUCGAGGAGAACGACACUUGGUACCUCACUGAUCUGCCUGCAGGUAAACGCCCGAUUGGCCUCAAAUGGGUGUUCAAAGUGAAGAAAGACUCCAACGGCAACGUCGUCAAGCACAAGGCCAGGCUCGUGGCGAAGGGUUUCGUCCAGCGCGCCGGCAUCGACUUCGAUGAGGUUUUUGCUCCAGUCGCACGGUUGGACUCCGUCAGGGUUCUGCUGUCGAUCGCGGCGCACGAGUCCUGGGAGGUCCACCACCUCGACGUCAAGACGGCGUUCCUGAACGGCGAUCUGGAGGAGGAGGUCUACGUCUUGCAGCCCCCAGGCUUCUCCCACACCGGCGGCGAGCACAAGGUGUUGCGCCUUCGCAAAGCUCUCUACGGGCUGCGUCAGGCUCCGCGCGCGUGGAACAUCAAGCUGGACACCACGCUGUCUGAACUUGGGUUCACACGCACUCUGUCAGAGCAUGCGGUGUAUCACCGCGGCACCGGCGACGAUCGGCUGCUGCUCGGAGUGUACGUCGACGACCUCAUCAUCACCGGGGCCAGCACCACCGCCAUCGACAUGUUCAAGGAGGAGAUGACUCGUCGCUUCCAGAUGAGCGAUCUCGGCCUCCUCACCUACUACCUCGGGCUGGAGGUACGCCAGCGCCCCGGCGUGAUCACCAUGUGCCAAGCGGCAUACGCCACCAAGCUGCUGGAGCGUGCUGGGAUGUCGGACUGCAAGACAGUCCAUGUCACCAUGGAGCCAUGUCUGCGCCUGAGCAGGAAGAGCUCGACGCCACCGACGGACGCCCACCUCUACCGCAGCGUGGUGGGUAGUCUGCGCUACUUAGUUCACACGCGUCCGGACAUCUCGUUCGCUGUGGGCUACGUCAAUCGCUUCCUCGAGUCGCCGACGACGGAGCACAUGAGUGUUGUCAAGCACAUUCUCCGUUACAUCGCCGGGACGAUCCAGUUCGGCUGCCGCUUCACUAACAAAGGAGGAUGCACUCUCAUUGGGUACAGCGACGCCGACCACGCCGGGGACGUCGAUGAUCGGAAGAGCACUUCUGGCUUCAUCUUCUUCCUCGGCUCAAGCCCGGUGAGUUGGCAAUCGCAGAAGCAAAAGGUUGUUGCCUUGUCUUCGUGCGAGGCCGAGUACAUUGCCGGCGCCACCGCAGCCUGCCAGGGUGUUUGGCUGAGCCGGUUGCUCGCCCAUCUGCUGGGGAAGGAAGCUGCACCAACCACUCUUCUUGUGGACAAUCUGUCUGCAAUCCAACUCUGCAAGAACCCAGUGUUCCACGGGCGAAGCAAGCACAUCGAGACGCGCUACCACUUCAUCAGGGAGAGCGUCGAGAACGGCAAGAUCGUCGUGGAGUACGUGAACACCGACGAUCAGCUCGCUGAUAUUCUGACCAAAUCGCUCGGGCGGGUCAGGUUCCAAGCUAUGCGCGAGAGGAUCGGGAUCGUCGACAUCAGGAACAUCUAG